GGAGAGGUGGCAGAGUGGACAAAUGCGGCCGUUUGGAAGGCGGUUUGGUUAAUACCAGCGUGGGUUCGAAUCCCACCCUCUCCG
rnacentral:tRNA from 1 species